rnacentral:rRNA from 1 species
UGAGUACGAGAUGCUACGGCAUCGAAGCAGUCUAUGUCAUACUUCCAAGAAAAGCUUGCAAUGUCAUAAACAAAUAAUGCCUGUACCAUAACCGACUCAGGUGGGUAGGUAGAGUAUACUAAGGGGCGCGAGAUAACUCUCUCUAAGGAACUCGGCAAAAUGACUCCGCAACUUCGGGAGAAGGAGUGCCUUAUUUUUAUAAGGUUGCAAUAACAAGAUCCAAGCAACUGUUUACCAAAAACACAGGUCUCCGCUAAGUCGUAAGACGAUGUAUGGGGGCUGACGCCUGCCCAGUGCCAGAAGGUUAAAGAAGUUGGUUAGCAUUAGCGAAGCUGAUAACUGAAGCCCUGGUGAACGGCGGCCGUAACUAUAACGGUCCUAAGGUAGCGAAAUUCCUUGUCGGGUAAGUUCCGACCCGCACGAAAGGCGUAAUGAUUUGGAUACUGUCUCGGAGAGGGGCUCGGUGAAAUAGACUUGUCUGUGAAGAUGCGGACUACCUGCACCUGGACAGAAAGACCCUAUGAAGCUUUACUGUAACUUGAGAUUGAAAUUGGACUUUAUCUGCGCAGUAUAGGUGGGAGACGUUGUAAAUAUUCUUGCGGGAAUAUUGGAGUCAUCAGUGAGAUACCACUCUUAUAAUGUUAGAUUUCUAACUUUGUAUCAUUAUCUGGUCAAAGAACAGUUUCAGGCGGGCAGUUUGACUGGGGCGGUCGCUUCCCAAACGGUAACGGAGGCGCACAAAGGUUUCCUCUGAACGUGUAGAAAUCGUAUCUAGAGUGUAAAGGCAUAAGGAAGCUUGACUGUGAGACCUACAAGUCGAGCAGGGACGAAAGUCGGUCUUAGUGAUCUGACGGUGCUGAGUGGAAAGGCCGUCACUCAACGGAUAAAAGUUACUCUAGGAUAACAGGCUGAUCUCCCCCAAGAGUUCACAUCGACGGGGAGGUUUGGCACCUCGAUGUCGGCUCAUCGCAUCCUGGGGCGGUAGUACGUCCCAAGGGUUGGGCUGUUCGCCCAUGAAAGCGGUACGCGAGCUGGGUUCAGAACGUCGUGAGACAGUUCGGUCCAUAUCCGGUGUAGGCGUUAGAAUAUUGAGAGGAGCCUUCUUUAGUACGAGAGGACCGAGAAGGACAUACCUCUGGUGUACCAGUUAUCGUGCCAACGGUAAACGCUGGGUAGCCAUGUAUGGAGAGGAUAACCGCUGAAAGCAUCUAAGUGGGAAGCCCACCUCAAGAUAAG